UACAGAGGUCUCAAGCGUUGUUCGGAUUCAUUGGGCGUAAAGGGUGCGUAGGCGGCGCGGUAAGUCGGGUGUGAAAUCUCGGAGCUUAACUCCGAAACUGCAUUCGAUACUGCCGUGCUUGAGGACUGGAGAGGAGACUGGAAUUUACGGUGUAGCGGUGAAAUGCGUAGAUAUCGAGAGGAACACCUGCGGCGAAGGCGGGUUGCUGGGCCGACACGUGACGCUGAUGCGCGAAAGCCCAGGGGAGCGAACGGG
rnacentral:rRNA from 1 species